UGCAUCCAUGCGUCUCUGCAUGUGUGCGUGCAUCCGCAUCCAUGUGCGUAUGCAUGGUCCGUGACCACCAUGCUGCUUGGCUGUCAUGGGAGGACUUGUUCACUGCCUCUGCCUUCUAAGUCCUGAGCUGACUUUCCUCCACAGCUCACAGGAAUUCAGCGGAUAAUUGCUUUUACAUCAGGAUACUUUUUUUCAUUUUCACCUUUAGUAUUAGAAAGGAAUUGAAGCUCUUAUCAGGAUGUUUAAAAUCACAUGCAUAGAACUAAUGGAUUUUCUCUAGAACUCGGCUUCCCCAUUUAUAACAUCCAAAAUUUAGUGAUUCUCUGACUUUAGAAUUCUAAAGGGGAAAAUGUGUAAUUAGAAUUCUAAGGCAAAGAAUGUGCUUGGUGAUUAUUUGGAUUCUGGAUAAACAAGGGUUCCUUUCUUUGUUUCCAAUUAGUGGAAUUAAUAUUCUCAGACCCAUUCUGCAGCUUACAGAGCAACCAAACAAACUGAUUCAGUAAAUACAGGCAUUUAAUUUUAUGUUGUGGUUUAAAAUCUAGCUUAAGCCCUGAAGCGUGCUUAAAUUCUAGAGAUUAGAAUUUAUAUCUUUUGUAAUCUCCAAUGGGUUUUAAUUUUGUAAGUGAGCCAACAGAUUAGCAGAAACCCUAGAUAACAGUGAACUAAUGAUUUAAAAAAAAGUCCCAACUUGAUAUUAAGUGAAUACCUAUUUUUUUCUAGCAAACUGUUCCUUCAACAUAGGUGAAUUCUUUAAUUUUGAAUUAAUUAGCCACUAAAUAUUUCAGAUGUACAUCAUUUAAUAGAAAUUCGAGUAUUUCAUAUUUUCCAAAAAUACAAUUUUAGUUAAAAGCCAAGCAUACUGAAAAAACUUCGAAAUCUCAAACUUAAAAUGUUCAUUCUUUACCACAAUAAAUACAACAAAGGCAAAUCAGGACAUGUAUUAAUAGAGAAAUGUCCAUGGAAAUGCAUGUACCCACCCGGCGUGCUGGAUCCUGCUUCUGUGACUUCACGCGUGUGGAUCCGUGGAAAUGCGUGCACCCGCCCAGCAUGCUGCGUCCUGCUUCUGUGACUUCACACGUGUUGAUCUGUGGAAAUGCAUGCACCCACCCAGCGUGCUGCAUCCUGCUUCUGUGAUUUCACACGUAUUGUUCCAUGGAAAUGUGUGCGCCCACCUGGCGUGCUGUCUCCUGCCUCUGUGAUUUCACGUGUAUUGUUCCAUGGAAAUGCAUGCACCCACCCAUCGUGCUGCGUCCUGCCUCUGUGACUUCACACAUGUUGUUCCUUCAGCCUAAGAUGAUUCCCUGCGUUUCUUGCCCUGGGAAACAUAGAUCAGAUCGGCUCCUCCCCCCUGCAUCAGGGCCUUCUCUGAUAAGCCGAGUUAAUAAUUUCCUCUUUAAUGGUCCUAUAUUUGUAGGUUUCUAUGAUGUAUCAUUUGUCACAGUGCAUAAUUAUUAUAAUCAUUGUGUACUAUUAUCGGAGUGUCUGCCUCACUUUGUAGAUUAUUAACUCCUUGUAAGUUGUCUUAUUUUUAAAAUUCACCUUUGUCCCCUCCAUGCCCCAUAGAAUAAGUGCUUAGUAGAUGUUGACACUGUUAAACUCACAAUUUUUUUUUUUUUUUUGAGACAGAGUCUCGCUCUGUUACCCAGACUGGAGUGCAAUGGCGUGAUCUCGGUUCAUGCAACCUCCGCCUCCCAGGUUCAAGCAAUUCUCCUACCUCAGCCUCCUGAGUAGCUGGGACUACAGGCACCAGCCUCCACGCCCGGCUUACUUUUUGUAUUUUACUGGAGACAGGGUUUCAUUGUGUUGCCCAGGCUGGUCUUGAACUCCUGAGGUCAGGCAAUCCACCCGCCUCAGCCUCCCAAAGUGCUAGGAUUACAGGCAUGAGCCACUGCACCCGGCCUGAAACUCACAAGUUUUAAGGCUUUUUAAACAACCACGAUGCACAUCCUCCGGGAGGAAAGGUGGUUAAACCGCUUCUGGCUUUGAGUCUGGGUGGCCCCGGUAGUAAGUUUACGUGACAACCAUGGCAAGGGAGCUCUUCCUCCCACCCCACACUGUGGCUCCUGCUGUACCAGGUUGCAGACGCAGUACCAGGGCGAGUGUAGUGCGGGAAGCAAUGGCUCCUGCUGAACCAGGAUUCGAACGUGGGGCAGGCAGCAGCAGCUCCUGCUGUACGGGGAUGCAGAUACGGAGCGGGCAGCAAUGCCCCAAUGCCCUGUGGCCUCUUCUGGGCAGCUAUCCUUAGCACCCUAUUCUAGAACAAUCCCAAACUUGCCAGGUGAGACAGGAGCCCUGCCUCCGCUCCAAUGACUGGUCGCUGCCUGUGCCACCCAGGACACCUUUUUAUUUGGAUCUUUGAAGAAAGAGUUUCACAUCGUGUUUCCUUUCCUAACCACCUGUUCCUGGAGCUGAGGGCUUGGCUGUACUACUAGCUGAAACCAGGGCAUUUCAUGGAUCACGUUUCCUAAUUAUUUGUUUAUUAUUUAUGCUCUGCCUCAUUCGGAAAGCCCAGCUGUUAUUUAAUAGGAUUAAUGUGGCGCGUUUCGACACAGUAAAGAAGUUGCUGUUUCUUUACACCAGAUUCAUCUGGCAACUGAAGUGUGCGUCUGGUCUGCUGUGAUAUCCAACCGGAAAGGCUGAAGCUAUGUCUCUAGGGCCUCUGGCUUAGUGAAAUAAGAAGCGUCCAUUGAAGGGGGAGGAAGACGACCCCCAAAGUCUGUAUUUUGAAUAUGGACUGUUUGCUCUUAAGUUGCUUCAAACAUGAUUCAGUCUUUCCCAAAUUAGGACAAACCACUGUCUCUGCCCCCAUAAGAACAGAAUGGUGUUUGUAAUUCAAUAACAACAGAGUUUUCAUUGAGCUCCAGGCCAUUUUGUCCCAGAGAGCACAUUCCUAUCCUAUCUCUUCUGUACUGACUCAACUUAGUCCUGAGUUUGACUUUACAACACUGUAAGAAAGUUAGAUUGAUGUUUCAGCUGGCCUUUAUAAAAUGCACAUGAUUUCGUCUGCGUUACUGUCUGAAAUUCUUCCACAGCGUUCAAGCGACAUGUUUCCACAGGCAGAGCAGGCACCUUCUUCCCAGAUCAUCUUACCCAUUAACACAUUGCUCAGGAUGUAAAACUGUCCAGGACACAGUGUUACAUCCAUUCUCCAUAGGGUUUUCUUAAGCUGCGUGGUUUGCAAUGUAAGGACAAGUGUUAUCCUCUCAAAAGCGCCUUUGGACUGGAAUUGAUUCCUGUGUCCUUGAGCCAUGUCCUUUUCAGCCAUUUCACAAUUCCUUAACUGUUGAGGACUUAACAUAUAUGAGAUAUUUGGGCAGGCACGACUUCCAUGUUCCUGUCUUUCUUCCUAAAAUAUCAGAGGAGCGGGAGUCACAGCAUCUAAAAUGAAACUCAUCUUGGCAGUCCCGUGAAAUACGGAGCUGAUUUGUUUUCUUGCUGCAGAGAGCACAAGAAUAAAGGAAGACUCCACAAGCCUCGUCUUCCAGAUCGUGCUGACCUGCUUGGCUCAGCCUUGCCCUGGAGGCAGACUCGGGAUGAGAAUUACGGAUUCACAAAUAUCCGAAACCACCCCUGUACUUCCCCAGGCCAGAUCAUUCUCUCAGUUUAGACCUCUCAACCUGAACCGAUGGAUGCUCUGCCUGGCAUCCUUGGCCUCCACCUCACCCAACACUCACCUUCUUGUCUUCCAGUCUUAGUUUAAAACUCACCUCUGCAGGGUCACUUUCCCCCAGUCCCCCAGAGCUGGUGUAGCGGAUGGUCUUCUCAGCGAGGCUGUCCUGAGAUGUUCAAUGUCGCAAUGAGACAGUCAUUCCACGACCCCAAGAGUGAGAUGUCCGAUGGUCUCACCAAGCUUUCUUUCCUGGACCAAGGAAGUUCCCAAACAACUUAGCAUCUUAGAGUUAAAGCUGCCUGUGUGUCCAGCCAUCUGCCUGCAGGGGGCGUCCUCCCACCUCCAGCAGCCCUGGUCCCUGGGUGUGGUCCCCCGACCCUGCAGCCCGGCUGCUGUAGCGCGUUUUUGAAGUGAGCUUUCACUGCCUCCCAUGGUUUCAAGAUUUGGGGUGCUCGGCGGAUUUAUCUGUAAAAAACUUUGUACGCAUACAUUGCUAGCUCAGGCCAAAUUAAAUCUAGUUAACGUUUGCUUUUAUUUGGGAUGCAAAAGGGAUCUCCCCUGAAAGGAUUAAGGGGACACAAGCAUACCCUACAGGGCCUGAACGGAGCAGCCUCCAGCAGUGAUUGGCGGGGUUCUCAUUAUUCCUCUCGCGUGUGCUGCUAGAGAGUUUAAAGCAACUUUGGUACCGCUUGCCAAAGAAAAAUGACAGACUCAGGUCUGUUUUCCUGAGACGGGUGAAAUGUUAAUUUACUGUAUCAAGAGUUGUCGUCAGCUCCUUUUGGAUCGUUUUUUUGCAAGGACCGUCCAUGGAGAUGGCUUUCCAGCCACAGUCUUCUGUUUUGAUCUCCUUUUUCUAUUUUGUAAUCUUUAUUGUAGUGGUAACUACAGGUCUAAUCAUUAUCUUCCCCCGUAAGCUAUAAGGCCCAUGGGAAUGUGAGUUUCUGCCUCCGGGUUAGCCAUCUGGUUUUCAGGACCCAGUGUAGAAUGAAAAGAUGGGCCAUUUGUUCAAUAAGCAGGAAAAAUGGCCAUAAGUGGACUCAACUAUACAGCUUUUUUCUUCUUCGAUGGUUUCUUGACUUGCUAUGGUAUUUUUUGUUUGCUCCUUAAUGCUAUUUUGAAUAAAGAUUGGAAGUCUAACUAUUAGCAUGCUUUUACCAUUUGUCUUUAUACUGUGUGACAGCAGUUUUAAAUAAAAAUAAAAGGGCAUUUAACUUGUAUGCAGAAUCAGUGAAAUUAGACAAUCUGUAUUUCACUAUUGCACAUAUAUUUUGUUCUUCCUGGAACAGUGGAAAUAUUGAACUAAAAAAGUACUUUAAUAUCACUUCACAGUGUACCACAUUCUAACAAAACUCUCUCCCACUGACUCACUGAUGAGCAAGGAAGAAAUGUAAGGAAAGGAGCUCUGGGCCGCCCUGUCUUUCAGGACAUGGCACGCGCUCGGUCUCGGUCCGGGCCUGUCACUCAGGACACGGCGUGCACUCGGUCUCGGUCCGGUCCUGUCUUUCAGGACAUGGCACGCACUCGGUCUCAGUCCGGGCUUGUCACUCAGGACACGGCGCGUGCUCGGUCUCAGUCUUGGUCUGGGCCUGUCACUCAGGACACGGCGAGCUCUUAGUCUUGGUCUGGGCUUGUCAAGUGAACAGGAGCUUUCCAUUUGGGAAAUUAAAACCUUUAAAGAACAUGCUUGAACCUUAGUUUCUUCUUCCUGUUUUUCCAACUGGAGAGACUAAGUUCACAGCUGUUUCCAUCUCUCAUUUCUUCACAUGACUCUGAUUUAUCCCAUUUUCACAGUACCUUCCUCCCUUUGGUGUUGUAGUAUAUGUUGUUGUGGAAACAUGUAAACACAGUGACAAUACAGGGAGAAGAGAAAAAGUGGAAAAAACUGUUACAUAAGAUCAGCCGUGCUCUUUAGCCAGCAUAAAAUGUCUUGAGCAAUGACACAGGCCUUGGGCUAUGAGGGUGAACUAAGGCCUAGGCAGUGAUUCUGAAGCAAAUGUUUCCAUUGCGAAAAUCCCGGGCAGGCCCCUGGAGGCAGAGCCCUGGUUCCACGUGGCCCAGCCGUCUCCUGAGAGCGGAGCCUGCCUUCCAUCCUCCUGACACUGAGCGAGAUUACAGUUCCGAGGCGUCUCACAUUUCACCAUUUAGGACGUUAACACUGCUGUGUAUUUCUUUGCAAUUUUACAGACUUUGAUCCAAUGACAUUAAAGCAGAUGAGCCACCCAAAACUAAUAUACAGUGUCUACUGCAGAAGACGUGUGCUCUUCACCAGUCUGUGGACCAGGAAACGAGCCGCUGGGGAUCUCAGUCGCAAGGGUGCUCAGGUGGCCUUGGUGCAGACACUCACAGCUCUCAGACUGCAGAGUGUGCCGGUCCUCGGAGAAGGGGUGUCCUUCAGGGCAGUGCUUCUCUGGCUGAUGCCACAGACUGGCUAGUGGAUGGCCAGACUCAUCACACUGACACCCCUGUUCACCUAAACCAGAUACAACCCCUUCCUGAUGCAUCUGUUGGUGCCAAAUCUUUUUUUUUUUUUUGUAGCUUUUUAUUAUUAAAACAGUCACUGCAAUUAUCAGGAGUCGUCUAAUGUACAGUGACUGCUAUUCCUAUUGCUGGUGAGUGAGAAUAUUAAUACCAUCUGUAGUAGUGAGACAGCAAAUAUUUCCCGCCUCACAGGUGCCCUGGUAUUUUAGUGCAGAAAAUAUUCUUACAGUUCCCUGGAAAGCACGCUUUAUAAACUCUUACACAUUUUCAAAAUAAAGAUUUUUUAAAAUAAA